rnacentral:lncRNA from 1 species
CCCUCCGAUCUGAGACCGCCACGGUGACUUGCAAGCAACUCACUGCACUUAGGUACUGGACUACCUGAAUUUCUAAUUCAGUGACGGAAGGUUGCUGGGUGUAGUCAAGUACUUGACUUGUCGGUGCGUGUGUGAAGAUGGGAUUGACCACUCCAGUUUAGGAACUGUGUACAGUCGUGUUUCAAUUUAGCAAAACCUUGGCCAGGGUAGUCUUUGUGAGGAGUCACAGGACUGUUUGAGUUGAAAAUGAUUCGGAUGAUCUAAUCAGGGUUGACAAUUUAAUCCUGAGUCGUCCUAAACACAGAGAUCAAAAGGAUGAAUUAUACAGUAACCAUAUUCAUGUAGGUUCUGAGUAUUGCGAUUGCGAUCAUUCGACCUAUCCGGAUAUUGGGUACCAUUGCUAGAUGGUCACUUCGAUUAGUACAGAAAUUGGUUCCUGUGCUACCGGCUUAGGUUCGAACCUGCGGGGUCACACACAUUAGAGGUUUCUAUCUGAUCUGAUGGCUGAUGAAGAGUCCUAAUACUCAUGGACUAUGAGUCCUACGUGUCUGGGACUCUAUGAUCGAGAAUCAAGAUUCUCUGAUCACGAGUCCCACACAUUUUGGGUAUUGGGGUCAAGAGUCCCACUGGUUUGGGACUCUUCGAUCAGAAUUAC